GGAUUGCCCUAGUAACGGCGAGUGAAGCGGCAACAGCUCAAAUUUGAAAUCUGGCCCCCUCGGGGUUCGAGUUGUAAUUUGUAGAGGAUGCUUCGGCGUCGGCCCCGGGCUAAGUCCCCUGGAACGAGGCGCCCUAGAGGGUGAGAGCCCCGUACUCACUCGGGUGCCCUUCGCCAUGUGAAGCUCCUUCGACGAGUCGAGUUGUUUGGGAAUGCAGCUCUAAGCGGGAGGUAUAUUUCUUCUAAAGCUAAAUACCGGCCAGAGACCGAUAGCGCACAAGUAGAGUGAUCGAAAGAUGAAAAGCACUUUGGAAAGAGAGUUAAAAAGCACGUGAAAUUGUUGAAAGGGAAGCUCUUGCCGCCAGACUUGCCGCGGUUGCUCAGCCGCCCCCCGGGGCGGUGUACUCUUCCGUCGGCAGGCCAGCGUCGGUUCGGGCGACCGGAUAAAGGCCCUGGGAAUGUAGCACCCUCCGGGGUGUGUUAUAGCCCGGGGUGCAAUGCGGUCAGCCCGGUCCGAGGCACGCGUUCGCGAGGACGCUGGCGUAAUGGCUGCAAGCGACCCGUCUUGAAACACGGACCAAGGAGUCUAACAUCUGUGCGAGUGUUUGGGUCUCAAACUCAUGCGCGUAAUGAAAGUGAACGGAGGUGGGAACCCCCUCGAGGGGCGCACCAUCGACCGAUCCUGAUGUCUUCGGAUGGAUUUGAGUAAGAGCAUAGCUGUUGGGACCCGAAAGAUGGUGAACUAUUCCCGGAUAGGGUGAAGCCAGAGGAAACUCUGGUGGAGGCUCGCAGCGGUUCUGACGUGCAAAUCGAUCGUCAAAUCUAGGAAUAGGGGCGAAAGACUAAUCGAACCAU
rnacentral:rRNA from 1 species